AAGGUGCCGGGGCUUCUCCCGUUUUUUCCCCCAGACGGGAGAAGCG
rnacentral:tRNA from 1 species